GUGGGUGUAGCUCAACGGUUAGAGCAUCAGGCUGUGGUCCUGGGGGCUGAGGGUUCGAGACCCUUCACCCACCCCA
rnacentral:tRNA from 1 species